CUUGGUCUUCAGAGGAGCUGGUCUUCAGAGGACCUGGUCUUCAGAGGACCUGGUCUUAAAAUACCUGGUCUUCAGAGGACCUGGUCUUAAAGGACAUGUCUUCAGAGGACCUGGUCUUCAGAGGAGCUGGUCUUCAGAGGACCUGGUCUUGAAGGUCCUGGUCUUGAAGGAGCUGGUCUUGAAGGAGCUGGUCUUGAAGGUCCAUGUACCUUCUAAGGUGUUGCUAAGCUCUGCUCAGCUCAGGGUGACGGCUAAAGAAAAGGAUAAACUUGGGAGGUUUGAGGAAACAAUUGUGGUGUUUCAGCAUCAAAGAAAGAAAGAGAGGCCAGGGGACGGGGGCCUGAGGCCAGGGGUUCGGGGGCCAGAGGCCAGAGUCCUGAGGCCAGGUCUCGGGGGCCAGGGGCCUGAGGCCGGGGGCCAGGGAUGGUCGGGGAGCGUUCAGAUAACAAACAACCAAAACACAGUUCAGAAGCAGCUGGGUGCUGAGCCUGAGGGUCCUAACGCCACAACCCUGUUACCUGUCUGUGUAUCCAGUUCACCUUUGGAUGUGUGUGUGUGUGUGUGUGUGUGUGUGUGUGUGUGUGUGUGUGUGUGUGUGUGUGUGUGUGUAUGUGUGUGUGUGUUUGGAAGUGUAUGUAUGUGUUUGAUUGUGCGUGUGCGGUUGGAUGUGUGUGUAUGUGCGUUUGGAUGUGGAUUGACCACAUACACAAUAGGUCUGAGUUUUUCUAAAGUUGAGAGCUACUGUAUUCCAAAGUGAAGAGACAGAGGAACGGGUGUGAAGACAGAAAUAAUAGUGUCAAUAAUUUUGAUUUAAUGUUGUCUAUUUUGCGCUGCUAAAAGCUAUGAUUUUUUUGUCAUUUCUUAUAAACAACAAAAUAACAUUACCUAGUCGUGAUGGGUCACUUGAGUGUGCUGCUAUUUUAUAAACUUUGUGUUAUAAUAUAAUUAUUUUACUGCUUAAGAGAUGCAUUCAGAAAUCAUGCCGGGGCGAACAGUAGAACAGUGGACUGGAAACUUACACACGCACACACACAUGCUCACAAAGAACACACAUGACCACACAAACACGCACACACACACACGGACCUCCAGUCCCAGGCAGAUCUGCGUUGUUGUGUAUUGUUUCACAUUUUGUUUUGUUUUUGAGUUUUUUGGGGAGGAGGUCGUCUUGUUGGACACUUCAGGAUCUCACUUGGCUCCAGCUGUAUGGGAGGGGGGGGGGGGUCUGAGCCUGGUUCCUCAUGGUUCCUCAUAGGGUUCCAGAGGUCAGCUAGCCCCGCCCCCCGGGUAUACAGCACCAAUCACUUCAUGUACCUCAAUGUCUGCUGCUCCACCUUGGUCAAUAAACUUCUGCUUUCAGA